GACGAACGCUGGCGGCGUGCCUAAUACAUGCAAGUAGAACGCACUUGCGAACGGGUGCGUAACGCGUAGGUACCUGCCUCAUAGCUGGGGAUUACUCUUGGACACUGUAGCUAAUACCGCAUCCUGUUAGAUGGACCUGCGUUGUAUUAGCUAGUUGGUGAGGUAAAGGCUUACCAAGGCGACGAUUCAUAGCCGGCCUGAGAGGGUGGUCCGGCAACCUGGGACUGAGGCACGGCCCAGACCCCGACGGGAGGCAGCAGGAGGGAAGCUUCGGACAUGGAGGGAAGUCUGACCGAGCAAAGCCGCGGGGGGGAAGAAGGUGUUCGGGUCGGAAAGCUCUGGUGAUAGGGAAGCGGUAACUAACCAGAAAGGGACGGCUAACGACGUGCCAGCAGCCGCGGUAAGAC
rnacentral:rRNA from 1 species